UGCAGUAAGAUUAGGCACUUCUUCUAUUGAGGCUACCAGAGACUCUGUAGGGGGAAAUGGUCCCGAAGGUGCGGCAGGAAAUGGCUGACCCCUCACCCUGCCCCUGCGGUGACCUCAACCCUGCUCCUGAGGACCACCCUCCCCGCUGCCUAAGGCAGAUCCAUGAUCACCUCUCCAGGUUGGUUGCCAAACACCGGAGGAUGAAGCGCGAACGGAGAGGUUACUGCAAGAAGAUGAAAGUCACUUAAGCUUUCAUUGUUGCCUUCAAGUUUGUUCGUGAGAGGAUGGAUAAUCAAUAUUGACAGCACAGAAGUCCAAUCUGUCCAGAACUAGAGGUUGGUCUAGUACAGACUAAAGAUAAAAGAAAAAGAUGUGUAGCAUGUCCAACAAUGGGCAGAAAAUUUCCAAGGUCUUCUAGAAAUAGAACUUUUUUUUUUUUCCUAAUUGGUCCAUUUGUGUGGGUCUUCUUGGCUUUCCACAAAGAGGCUCAAGCUCUGAAUGCAGAUUCACAGUAAUUUCUAUAGUCUCUGCUCCGCCCCUCUCUCUGCUCACCAGGUCUCAGGGCAGAGCCCUGGAGAAGCCCUUCAAUAAGUACUUAUGGAAUUGCAUAUUAGCCCAGGCAUUUAGCUUGUCCUUUUCGUUUUAAUGUUUCAGUUUUACAUCUUGAUGGAUCCCCUCUAUCCUUCAUAUUUCUCAUCUCUUACCCUACUGCUCAUGGCUGAAUUGUGAUGUCCUGGGAAUGUCUGUGUUACCACCUAUGUCAAGGCCUUAUCUAGCAUCUAGGCUCACAUUAAGGAGAAACAAAAGCAUCUUGAGAAAAAAAGAAAGCACAUGGAAAUAUUUUUUGAACACACUAAAUAAUGUAACAUAAGUCUUUGACUUUUCCUAGAAGAGAAACGCAGCAGAGAAGGUAGAUUAACUCAGCAGGUAUAAUAAUAAGCUCAUAAAAAUUGAAGCAAAAAUACAAAAAAGUAGGGGAAUUAAUGCGAGACCAGAAUGUUUUCAAGUAUAGAGCAUUGCUUAAUUUGAACAUGCAGUAAAAUCUACGGGCAUUACAUGAAAGCCACAGCUGCAAAGAGAACCCCGAAAGUUCUUAUGCUGUUCUAAACCACAAAGGCUCUGAGAAAACAUUAUGGGUUGAUUGGUUUUUUUGUUUGUUUGUUUGUUUUGUUGUUGUUGUUCUUGUUGUUCGUUUUUUAUCAUUUUGCAACAAACUUAGAAAACAACUGCAAAAGGGACACUCUAAAAUCCACAGAGGCAGAAGGGUGAAGAUGUUUUGUCUGAAGUAGCUUGAAGAAGAGAAACAGUGCUUGUUUUAUCUGUGGGGGGUCACAUUCAGCCACCCUUAUCUUCUUCCCCUGCGCCCUAGAUCACCCCAAAGCAACAGAGUCAUAUGCAAACCAAGAUCACCUUAUCAGCGAACUCCAUAAUUACAAAGGCUGAUAUGGGUGUGAUGGCUAAUGUUGGCUGCCCACUUGGCACACUUGGGAAGAGGGAACUUCAUCUGAAAAAUUGCCUUCACCAGACCUGUUUGUGGGACGUGAGUAUUCCUUGAUGGAGGAGGGAUUAGCCCACUAUGGGUGGUGCCACCCUUAGGCAGGUAAGUUUGGGAUGUAUAAGGAGGGAAGCUGAACAUGAGUCUGGGAGCCAGGCAGUAAGCAGCACUUCUUCAUGGCUUCUGCAUUAGUUCCUGCCUUGAGUUCCUGCCCUGACUUCCCUCAGUGAUGGACUGUAGCUUGAGAACUCUAAGAUGAAAGAAAACCUUUGCUCUUUGGACAAGAGGCAAGUACAACAAUAUCUCUCAAGACAAAGUGAGGUUGGCUGCAAAUUUCACCUUUUGAGUGUUAGAGCAUAAUACCCAUUCUUUGUUUCAGUCUUUUUGUCUGAAUUUCUUCUGAAAUGACCUCCAAGAAGUUGAGGAUACCUCAAAGUGAACAGGGAUAUCCCAUGUCAGCACAGCAGGACAGCAGUGCAUGAGGAGCUGUGCAAAUACUUAUGCUGUCAUACUUUCUCACUAAACAAGAAAAAUUAAAAUAACUCACUCAUUUAUUAACAACAACAAAAGCCUAGAAAAAUAACAAAUAAACAAACAAACAAC
rnacentral:lncRNA from 1 species